AGAAAGAGAGCGAGAGGAGAGAGAAGCUCUGAAGGUGAAAGCCCAAGAAGGAGUUCUUGAGUUAUGAAGGUCCAUCUUUUUCCUUCUUCUCCCUUUCAGCCAACUUUCUGCCUCCCUGCGAGCUAGCACUCCCCGAAAAGCUGAUCAUUCCGGAGCUUCGCGUGGACGAGUCAUCGAGGCCGGACGCUUGUGCGGCUGCGAAGCAUCCUUGAAGGAACCUCCUUCUAAAGGUAAGAGAUCUUAUCUCUUUUACGGUUGAGAUAUUAUCUCAAUCUUCAAAUCACAAGAAGUUAUGAUUUAUGCAUAUUUAUUUGAAUCACACAAUCCUCGGGAUCUGAGGGCUUUGUGAUAUUUGGUGUCAAAGCAAAGAAUUAGUGGAGACUAUCCGAUUCCCGAAAACUCUCACGCGUGAUCGUGUGACGAAGCAUGGCUCUCCACCCGGGGGAUCAUAUGAUGAGUGCUUUGAUAGGCACGCGCGGGUGUCACCCUAUGUAUUGGAACUGAGCCCGCGUAACAUGUGAUGUGCAGUUGAAGACUGUCUUCGACUGGUACCAGAGUCAAA
rnacentral:lncRNA from 1 species